rnacentral:rRNA from 1 species
UGUGAGCUCGAUGAGUAGGGCGGGACACGUGGUAUCCUGUCUGAAUAUGGGGGGACCAUCCUCCAAGGCUAAAUACUCCUGACUGACCGAUAGUGAACCAGUACCGUGAGGGAAAGGCGAAAAGAACCCCGGCGAGGGGAGUGAAAAAGAACCUGAAACCGUGUACGUACAAGCAGUGGGAGCCUCUUAAUGGGGUGACUGCGUACCUUUUGUAUAAUGGGUCAGCGACUUAUAUUCUGUAGCAAGGUUAACCGAAUAGGGGAGCCGAAGGGAAACCGAGUCUUAACUGGGCGUUAAGUUGCAGGGUAUAGACCCGAAACCCGGUGAUCUAGCCAUGGGCAGGUUGAAGGUUGGGUAACACUAACUGGAGGACCGAACCGACUAAUGUUGAAAAAUUAGCGGAUGACUUGUGGCUGGGGGUGAAAGGCCAAUCAAACCGGGAGAUAGCUGGUUCUCCCCGAAAGCUAUUUAGGUAGCGCCUCGUGAAUUCAUCUCCGGGGGUAGAGCACUGUUUCGGCAAGGGGGUCAUCCCGACUUACCAACCCGAUGCAAACUGCGAAUACCGGAGAAUGUUAUCACGGGAGACACACGGCGGGUGCUAACGUCCGUCGUGAAGAGGGAAACAACCCAGACCGCCAGCUAAGGUCCCAAAGUCAUGGUUAAGUGGGAAACGAUGUGGGAAGGCCCAGACAGCCAGGAUGUUGGCUUAGAAGCAGCCAUCAUUUAAAGAAAGCGUAAUAGCUCACUGGUCGAGUCGGCCUGCGCGGAAGAUGUAACGGGGCUAAACCAUGCACCGAAGCUGCGGCAGCGACACUAUGUGUUGUUGGGUAGGGGAGCGUUCUGUAAGCCUGCGAAGGUGUACUGUGAGGUAUGCUGGAGGUAUCAGAAGUGCGAAUGCUGACAUAAGUAACGAUAAAGCGGGUGAAAAGCCCGCUCGCCGGAAGACCAAGGGUUCCUGUCCAACGUUAAUCGGGGCAGGGUGAGUCGACCCCUAAGGCGAGGCCGAAAGGCGUAGUCGAUGGGAAACAGGUUAAUAUUCCUGUACUUGGUGUUACUGCGAAGGGGGGACGGAGAAGGCUAUGUUGGCCGGGCGACGGUUGUCCCGGUUUAAGCGUGUAGGCUGAUUUUCCAGGCAAAUCCGGAAAAUCAAGGCUGAGGCGUGAUGACGAGGCACUACGGUGCUGAAGCAACAAAUGCCCUGCUUCCAGGAAAAGCCUCUAAGCAUCAGGUAACAUCAAAUCGUACCCCAAACCGACACAGGUGGUCAGGUAGAGAAUACCAAGGCGCUUGAGAGAACUCGGGUGAAGGAACUAGGCAAAAUGGUGCCGUAACUUCGGGAGAAGGCACGCUGAUAUGUAGGUGAAGCGACUUGCUCGUGGAGCUGAAAUCAGUCGAAGAUACCAGCUGGCUGCAACUGUUUAUUAAAAACACAGCACUGUGCAAACACGAAAGUGGACGUAUACGGUGUGACGCCUGCCCGGUGCCGGAAGGUUAAUUGAUGGGGUUAGCGGUAACGCGAAGCUCUUGAUCGAAGCCCCGGUAAACGGCGGCCGUAACUAUAACGGUCCUAAGGUAGCGAAAUUCCUUGUCGGGUAAGUUCCGACCUGCACGAAUGGCGUAAUGAUGGCCAGGCUGUCUCCACCCGAGACUCAGUGAAAUUGAACUCGCUGUGAAGAUGCAGUGUACCCGCGGCAAGACGGAAAGACCCCGUGAACCUUUACUAUAGCUUGACACUGAACAUUGAGCCUUGAUGUGUAGGAUAGGUGGGAGGCUUUGAAGUGUGGACGCCAGUCUGCAUGGAGCCGACCUUGAAAUACCACCCUUUAAUGUUUGAUGUUCUAACGUUGGCCCGUAAUCCGGGUUGCGGACAGUGUCUGGUGGGUAGUUUGACUGGGGCGGUCUCCUCCUAAAGAGUAACGGAGGAGCACGAAGGUUGGCUAAUCCUGGUCGGACAUCAGGAGGUUAGUGCAAUGGCAUAAGCCAGCUUGACUGCGAGCGUGACGGCGCGAGCAGGUGCGAAAGCAGGUCAUAGUGAUCCGGUGGUUCUGAAUGGAAGGGCCAUCGCUCAACGGAUAAAAGGUACUCCGGGGAUAACAGGCUGAUACCGCCCAAGAGUUCAUAUCGACGGCGGUGUUUGGCACCUCGAUGUCGGCUCAUCACAUCCUGGGGCUGAAGUAGGUCCCAAGGGUAUGGCUGUUCGCCAUUUAAAGUGGUACGCGAGCUGGGUUUAGAACGUCGUGAGACAGUUCGGUCCCUAUCUGCCGUGGGCGCUGGAGAACUGAGGGGGGCUGCUCCUAGUACGAGAGGACCGGAGUGGACGCAUCACUGGUGUUCGGGUUGUCAUGCCAAUGGCACUGCCCGGUAGCUAAAUGCGGAAGAGAUAAGUGCUGAAAGCAUCUAAGCACGAAACUUGCCCCGAGAUGAGUUCUCCCUGAGACUUAGAGUCUCCUGAAGGAACGUUGAAGACGACGACGUUGAUAGGCCGGGUGUGUAAGCGCAGCGAUGCGUUGAGCUAACCGGUACUAAUGAACCGUGAGGCUUAACCUUACAACGCCGAAG